GUAUGCAAUUACAGUGUUCCAAGCUGAGGUUUGAGUUCCAAGCUGAGGUUUCUCGGCUUAUGGACAUUAUCAUCAACUCUCUCUACAGUAACAAGGACAUUUUCUUGAGAGAGUUGAUCUCCAAUGCUUCUGAUAUUUUCAAGCUUUGGAUAAGAUUAGGUUACUUGCACUCACUGAUAAAGACGUUUUGGGUGAGGGUGACACUGCUAAGCUUGAGAUCCAGAUUAGGCUAGACAAAGCCAAGAAAAUACUUUCUAUUCGGGACAGGGGAAUUGGGAUGACUAAGGAAGAUCUAAUUAAAGAAUCUUAGGGAUGAAGCUGGCGAGUACCUAGAGGAGAGUAAACUCAAGGAUCUGGUGAAGAGAUAUUCUGAAUUCAUUAACUUCCCUAUCCACCUCUGGGCUAGCAAAGAGGUUGAAACUGAGGUCCCAGUUGAGGAAGAUGAAUCAGCUGAAGAGGAGGAAACUGUUAUCCGGCGAACGUCUUCGCCCGGAAAAAUUACCGAAAAUAGUCUAAAACCAUUUCGUCAAAAACGAGUUCUAACAAUCCCCCACAUGAAUAGAAAUGCUUCUUCUAGACACUAGACGACUCGACAAACUUGACUUCCUAGACAAGACUCGACAAGACUCAACAAGACUCAACUAAGGACUUUUGAGAGUACAAACGAGAAAUUCACUGCAUGAUGAGUUGGUAGCAAUUUUUCAGCCUUGAACCAGUCAUU